AUGGUCGGUGAUGUCAUAGCUGCCGGAUCCGGCUAUCCCGAUCGAGUCCGGUCGCUUGUUGGCGAUGCGCCGGCGCGGCUGCCGCCGGAUCCGGCGGACCAGGGGUCAUCCAUCGCCGUCGCGAGCGCCGUGGUGGCUCUCACGUCGUCGGGGGCUGCCGAAGCCGGGCGGAGAAGCACGUGCACGAUCUCCGUUGAGGAGCACAGGGGCGGCGCGACCCUUGUUGGCAUGGCGGUGGCAAACGUGUCGACCCAGAUGCGCGAGUUCUUGCGCGGCUCUCAGUUUUCCGACACCCACUUGCCCCAACUCCGCAUGCGCGCGGCUGCUAGAUCCAGCGGGCGGCGAGCUUCGUUGGUGGAGAGCUUUUGUGGUGAUUGCUCAAGGUCGGCGAGCGCUGGUCAUGACAGUGGUGAGACGGCUCGGAGAAGGGAAAGGUGGAGGCGGUGCGGUGGUUGGGUUACGGAUCGGCCAGGGCGGCGAGCCUGGGCGAAUCGGCGGACAGGCAAAGGUUGGUUGACGCUAUUUUUCUUUUCAAUUCACUAGAAAAAAAUGC
rnacentral:lncRNA from 1 species